rnacentral:rRNA from 1 species
AGUGAACGCUGGCGGUAGGCCUAACACAUGCAAGUCGAGCGGCAGCACAGUAAGAGCUUGCUCUUACGGGUGGCGAGUGGCGGACGGGUGAGGAAUACAUCGGUAUCUACUUUUUCGUGGGGGAUAACGUAGGGAAACUUACGCUAAUACCGCAUACGACCUACGGGUGAAAGCAGGGGAUCUUCGGACCUUGCGCGAUUGAAUGAGCCGAUGUCGGAUUAGCUAGUUGGCGGGGUAAAGGCCCACCAAGGCGACGAUCCGUAGCUGGUCUGAGAGGAUGAUCAGCCACACUGGAACUGAGACACGGUCCAGACUCCUACGGGAGGCAGCAGUGGGGAAUAUUGGACAAUGGGCGCAAGCCUGAUCCAGCCAUACCGCGUGGGUGAAGAAGGCCUUCGGGUUGUAAAGCCCUUUUGUUGGGAAAGAAAAGCAGCAGGUUAAUACCCCGCUGUUCUGACGGUACCCAAAGAAUAAGCACCGGCUAACUUCGUG